UACGUAGGGUGCGAGCGUUGUCCGGAAUUACUGGGCGUAAAGAGCUCGUAGGUGGUUUGUCGCGUUGUUCGUGAAAACCGGGGGCUUAACCCUCGGCGUGCGGGCGAUACGGGCAGACUUGAGUACUGCAGGGGAGACUGGAAUUCCUGGUGUAGCGGUGGAAUGCGCAGAUAUCAGGAGGAACACCGAUGGCGAAGGCAGAUCUCUGGGCCGUAACUGACGCUGAGGAGCGAAAGCGUGGGGAGCGAACAGG
rnacentral:rRNA from 1 species